ACCAAAACUAGCCUGACCACACUCAUAAUCCAAAUAUAAUAAAUAUAAUAAAACAAAACAUUUACAUUCAAAAGUAUAGGAGAUAGAAAUUCACUCAAGCGCUAUAGAAACAGUACCGCAAGGGAAAGAUGAAAGAAUUAAUUAAAAGUAUUAAAUAGCAUAGAUAAAACCUACUACCUUUUGCAUAAUGAGUUAACUAGAAAACCUUGACAAAAAGAACUUAAGUCAAAAAUCCCGAAACCAAACGAGCUACUUUUGAACAGCUAGUAAUUGAGCAAACUCGUCUAUGUGGCAAAAUAGUGAGAAGAUUUAAAAGUAGUGGUGAAAAGCCUAUCGAGUCUGGAGAUAGCUGGUUAUCCAAACAAGAAUUUAAGUUCAACUUUAAAUCUUUCCUAUAAAAUCCUAAAAUUUUAAUGAAGAUUUAAAUGUUAACUUAAGGAGGUACAGCUCCUUAAAUAAGGAUACUCCCUUAAAUAGAGGGUAAAUAGUAUAAUUACCAUAGUAGGCCUAAAAGCAGCCAUCAAUUAAGAAAGCGUUCAAGCUCAACAAAAAAUCUUAAUUAUAUCCCAAAAACCACAGUCACCCCCUACAUAAAAAUUGGAUUAAUCUAUAUAAAUAGAAGAAAUAAUGUUAAUAUUAGUAACAAGAAAUAGUUCUCCUUGCACAAGCCUAGGUUAUAAACAUAACCAAUUAACAAUUAUAUAAAAAAUUCACACAUUAAUUUAUUAUUAUAAAAAUUGUUAACCCAACCCAGGAGUGCAAUAAGGAAAGGCUAAAACAAGUAAAAGGAACUCGGCAAACAUAAAUCCCGCCUGUUUACCAAAAACAUCACCUCUAGCAUUUCAAGUAUUAGAGGCACUGCCUGCCCAGUGACAAUUAAAGUUAAACGGCCGCGGUAUCCUGACCGUGCAAAGGUAGCAUAAUCAUUUGUUCCUUAAAUAGGGACUUGUAUGAAUGGCUUGACGAGGAUUUAACUGUCUCUUACUUGUAGUCAGUGAAAUUGACAUUCCCGUGAAGAGGCGGGAAUAAGAUAAUAAGACGAGAAGACCCUAUGGAGCUUUAAUUUAUUAACUCAUUUUAACAAAUCAUAAUCAACUAGAAACAAAAAGCAAAUUAUGAGUUAACAAUUUUGGUUGGGGUGACCUCGGAGUAAAAAAUAACCUCCGAAUGAUAUUAACUUAGAUUUACAAAUCAAAGUUUAAAUCAUAAAUUGACCCAGAAAUAUCUGAUCAACGAACCAAGUUACCCUAGGGAUAACAGCGCAAUCCUAUUAAAGAGUCCAUAUCGACAAUAGGGUUUACGACCUCGAUGUUGGAUCAGGACCCCCAAAUGGUGCAACAGCUAUUAAAGGUUCGUUUGUUCAACGAUUAAAGUCCUACGUGAUCUGAGUUCAGACCGGAGUAAUCCAGGUCGGUUUCUAUCUAUUAAAAAUUUCUCCCAGUACGAAAGGACAAGAGAAAUUAGGCCAAUAAAUCAAUCACGCCUUAAUAGCAAAAGAAUGAUAUAAUAUUAAUUCUUUAGCUAUUAAUAAUCACAAACCCGAGACAAGGGUUU
rnacentral:rRNA from 1 species